rnacentral:rRNA from 1 species
AAGAGCUUGCUCUUAUGAAGUUAGCGGCGGACGGGUGAGUAACACGUGGGUAACCUGCCCAUAAGACUGGGAUAACUCCGGGAAACCGGGGCUAAUACCGGAUAACAUUUUGAACCGCAUGGUUCGAAAUUGAAAGGCGGCUUCGGCUGUCACUUAUGGAUGGACCCGCGUCGCAUUAGCUAGUUGGUGAGGUAACGGCUCACCAAGGCAACGAUGCGUAGCCGACCUGAGAGGGUGAUCGGCCACACUGGGACUGAGACACGGCCCAGACUCCUACGGGAGGCAGCAGUAGGGAAUCUUCCGCAAUGGACGAAAGUCUGACGGAGCAACGCCGCGUGAGUGAUGAAGGCUUUCGGGUCGUAAAACUCUGUUGUUAGGGAAGAACAAGUGCUAGUUGAAUAAGCUGGCACCUUGACGGUACCUAACCAGAAAGCCACGGCUAACUACGUGCCAGCAGCCGCGGUAAUACGUAGGUGGCAAGCGUUAUCCGGAAUUAUUGGGCGUAGAGCGCGCGCAGGUGGUUUCUUAAGUCUGAUGUGAAAGCCCACGGCUCAACCGUGGAGGGUCAUUGGAAACUGGGAGACUUGAGUGCAGAAAGAGGAAAGUGGAAUUCCAUGUGUAGCGGUGAAAUGCGUAGAGAUAUGGAGGAACACCAGUGGCGAAGGCGACUUUCUGGUCUGUAACUGACACUGAGGCGCGAAAGCGUGGGGAGCAAACAGGA